UGCGUAGGCAGCGAGCGUUGUUCGGAAUUACUGGGCGUAAAGAGUGUGUAGGCGGUGCUCUAAGUUCGGUGUGAAAUCUCCUGGCUCAACUGGGAGGGUGCGCCGGAAACUGGAGUGCUUGAGCGUGGGAGAGGAAAGCGGAAUUCCACGUGUAGCGGUGAAAUGCGUAGAGAUGUGGAGGAACACCAGUGGCGAAGGCGGCUUUCUGGUCUGUAACUGACGCUGAGGCGCGAAAGCGUGGGGAGCAAACAGG
rnacentral:rRNA from 1 species